AACUCCUCCACUGGAUCCUUCCAGGAGGCAUUACGUGAAACCCCACACAACAACUCAUUCUAGUUGUAUGUCACAAUUUAUUCUGUAGAUGCUUUUCCCACUAACUUGGUAAAAUUGCCAAAACCAAUCAGGCUGAUCCACGUGUUCAAGCAUCAGACAUUUAACACUACCUAAAUUAAUCCUCAAAACUGUCAUAAGAGAAAUGAUGAACAUAUCCACUUAAUGGUCAUCUGUCUUCUUCUGAGGGACAGUGCAUUCACCGAUAACGGGAUGUGUCAGCUAUAAUGGUUCUGAGGCAAUGCAAAGAUCAGAAAGAAGCAAGAGGACCGACUACACUCCUACGACAUGUCUGUAUCAGUAACUGAGGAUAAUAUUAUUCACCUCAUGUGACUUUUGUGAGGAUUAAAUAAUUCAAUAAACAUAACGUGCUUAGACUAGCUCCUGGUGGGUCCUAAAGCAUUUAAUAAAUGUUAGUCAUCAUGAGAUGAUGAUCAUGAGAUGGCACUGAUGAUGAUGACAAUAAUGAUGGUGCUGAAAGAAACUGCUAAUAGGAAACACACCUAACACCAUGCCACAGACCAAUAAAUGCAAUUUGAAGAGGACAGCUAGAAUAUCCCAAUAUUCCUCUGCUUUUACUAAUUGCACAUGUAGGAGAAAAUGGGAAAUACCAUAAUAUGGAUGGCACAUAUUUAUUUCAUAAAAAUAAGACAUGAGCUACAGAAGCAAAAAUUAAUGAUAGUUAAAGAAGAACAGAAAGGCCAUAAGGGGUGAAACCCACACUAGAACUAUGGAAUUGUCAACUUCAGGUCAGGAGAUAUCAAAAUAAUAUCAUAGAACAAAGUUAAUAUGCAUGAAGCACCUGUAACGUAUCAGGCACUGUUCUAUAUUCUUUAAAAUAGAUCACUUACUUAAUCCACACAAAAAUCCUGUGCAGUAAGACUAUUAUCCUCUUCUGAAACUAGGGCACUGAAAUAUUAAAAAUUUGCUCAAGGUCUCAUAGCUAAUAAGGGGUGAAAUCAGGAUUUUAUACCUUCAGUUUGUCUUUGCUCUUAACUACUGUACGACAAUGCCUCUCAGUAUAUGAAAGAAAAGAUCUUUUGAGAACUCUAGCAUUUAAUAGAAAAGCUAAGACAAAUUAUGGGUGGAGAUAUGAAAAGAUUCCUAAACAAAAUACCAACAUAAAACUUCAGCAUUUCUAAGAAUAUUAAGUUAAUCAUCAGAGGAGAUUAUUAUGCAAUAUUUAAAGAAAGCAAAUUCUGGUGCACUGAAGGCCCUCUUCAAUGGAACGUAACUGUCAUGGAAGUUAAGCAAGUCAAAAAAGCAGAGCCCAUCCCGCUUUGUCAUAAAUAAUGGCAUGUGACAGGAAAGCCUUAAGAUUCUGUUUAGAAUACAAAAUAUCCUAUACAGAUAAUCUAUCGAUCCAAACACUAUUAAUUUUCUCCAGCAUAUUUUUCAAUCAUAAAGACAUUGCUAUUGUGUUUCCCAGGUAAUCUCCUUUUGCUCCAAAUUAUUUUUUAAAAUAAAAGAAAAAUGGAAGAAAGGAGGAAAAGGGGGAGCAAGGGAAAACUAAAUUGGUUAAAAUACAUUGAAAAGAAGUGAAGGUUACAAUAUAUUGAAAAGAGGUGAAAGCACUAAACCCAGUCUCAAGGCUGUUAUGACACUUUUCCAUCAAUGCAACCUAGUGUCUGUUUAUUUUAAGUAAUUACAGCCCUGUGUUCUUGACAUAUGCUCAACCAAUGUCCCACGGAGAUCACAGCACUUCUUCUGCUAUGUUAUACACUGCAUACUCAAUCAUUUUCUAUCGCUGGGCAUUGUUUGGAACUCAACAAGAAAAGCAGUAUUUUGGCCAACUCCUUACUAAGCAUUAUUCUGUAAUUGACAAUUUAUUGUUUGGGUUACAUUUUUAUUUAGCUAACAAUGCCUGUAGCAUGGCUGAGGACCAGACACUGUUUAAUCAUUUUACAAACAAUAACUCAUAUAAUCUUUAUAGCAACUUUAAAAACUAAAGAUUAUCAUUAUCGAUUAUACAAGAGGAAUCCUUUUUAAGCACAGAGAGACUGAAUAAUUUGCCCAAGGCCACACAGCUAAAUGGUAUAACCAGAGUUUGAACCCAAGCUCUGGAGUCUAUGCCUUUAAACAGUACCUGCUGCUGCUUCUUGAAGAGAACAAAUGGGUUAAUAUAUAUAAAUUCGAUAGACUAAUGCCUGGCACACCAUAAGGGCUGAAUAAAUGUCAGUUCUUUAUUGUUUUGGGGAUGAUAUUGUUGGUAUCAUGCAUGACCAUAUUAGGUGAUAAUUCUGGUAGGAUUUAUUUGAAAUGUCCACACGGGCCAAAACUAUUACCAAUCUUUUACAUAUUCGUAGAAAAGUAUAGUUUCCCAGGCCAUUAACUGGGAUAUAUUUCAGAAGAGAAGAAAAGCCUCAUAAUAUCAAGUUACAUUGAGACUUCGACUUCAGAUGGAUCUACUUACUCUGUCACUCUGGCAUAGAAGGAAAUUAGAUUAAUCCAACAAGAGUGUUCCUCAUGGAGUCACAUUGAUUUUUGCCUGCCUUAGAUGUUCUUCCAUGUGCUUACAAAAUUGAUCUAGUCUGGGAGAGUAGAAAAUCUACAUUUUUGGAGUUUGCCCUUUUUUUGUUUGCUUGUUCUUCAAAUGGCUUUGUUGCACUUACCUAUUCCUCAGCAUACAUUCCAUAAGCAUAGUCAGAGGACAAUCCAAUUCGCCAUAAAACACAUUUUUUUUUUUCCUGUGUGAUUUAACACAUAGGUAGCUCUUCAUUAUGGAAGAUACCUUCCCAGUGAUUAUUUGUAUUUUCUUAUUCUUCUUGAUAACAAUGGGUUUGGUAUAAAUCAGUGGUCAUCUAAACACAUGACAACCUGCAAAUUAAAUAGCCAUUGAUAAUAUUCUAAAAGUUAUUAGUGUAGCAUUUUUGAUAUCAUCAGAUUUUCAUUUUCUGUGAAGACAUUAAUGUUUCAUAGUUUAGUUAAUUUGCUGUUUGAGCUUUAAGGUCAUUUAUAGUCUUACGGUUAUUAUAUAAAAAUAUAACUCUUAAAAAACUCCAAAUGCCACAUGAUCCUACACAGCUAGUAAGGUCUAAAAAUUGCUGACUUGGAAAUGCUUUGAAUUUCUGCAUAAUAUUUGAAAUAGUAUAAGCUAUUAUCUUUUAUGUACAUUUGCUGACAGAAAGAAAUGUGUUUUAAAGGAAGAUGCUACUGCUUCUUCUAUAUUCUGUGCAUCAAACACAAUCUUCUGGCUACUGUGACCAUUCUUUAGGUAUGUUUGUUACUGAUAUGGAAGCAUGUAUACAGAUUAUAUGCCUAUAAAUGCAAAGAACUCUGAGUCACCAGUAAUGUGUAUUCAAAUAUGGAUGGAAUGAACAUGAUAAAUAUGCUAUUUAUUUUUAAGGUAGUUAUUUUCUGAUUCGAACAAUUUUGGCCUCAUUAAUAGCAUCUGAAAUUCUCUCAUGAUUCUUUUUUUUUUUUUCAAAUUUACAAGAGAAAAAUCUCCUAAAGCUCAUUAUAACUAUGAUUAGGUCUACUUUUGAAUUGGAUUUCAUUAAAGCUUAAAAAAAAAUCAGAUGAGAGACAUGAUUACAGCUUCCUUAGAAACACCAGAAAUAGUAGAAACACCUUAGAAUCCAGGACUUUUUGGCAAAGACUCUUAUUAGAGUCCAUCUGCUGUGUACAAUGAUUAAGAGACUACAAACAGAAUAACCACCUUUCAGACAGCAUUGCAUAUAAUUAUAUUUUGAUAAUAAAGAGUUUACAUCUAAACAAUGAAUGCAUAUUACAAGGAAGAAAGGAAGGGCAGGAGGGAAGGGAUAAAGAGAAGUUUAAAAAAAAAGGAAAAAAUGAAGCUUGAACCACCUUCACUUUCAAGUGAUCAACAUAUAUUUUAAUAGCCUCUGAGGGUCUCUGAGUCAAUAAUCUGUUAAACUGUAUUCUUUAAAUCUACUGAAUGGAUCAGCAAACUUCUAAACUGCAUCACAAAUGCAUUUAGUUAUUUACUCAUUCAUUUGUUUAACAAACAUUUACUACGUAAAAUCCUACUCUCCAACGACUGGAGUAGAAGCUGAGGAUUUAACAGUUAGCAAGACAUAAUCCUUGACUUCAAGGAGCUCAGAUG
rnacentral:lncRNA from 1 species